CUCAACAACUGAUAGCACGGAUAGCCAGAAUAUAUUUCUGCCCUCCAAUCAACCUAAAAUAAGUCAGCUUAAGGGUUAAAAUAGCUGAUCAAGUGGUAUUUGUUGUUGAUCGUGUUUGGCUGUGCAGUUUCGUACAUGUCAACUAUGAUUUAGUCUAUGGUCAUUACAUGCUUUAUAUCCACAUGAGGUUUGCCUACAGACGAUCCAUUGGUGAGCAAGUGAUAAAAUGCUACAUUUUUCCAAAUCUGUGAACUCCUCUGCAACUUUGAUGUUCCAAGGGAGGAAAACCGAAAUGCAAAUGGGCAGCUGCCGGGUACUAUAUGCAGCAACGUGUCCCGUUACUUGCUACUGUAGUUAUUGCACCUGAGGAUCUGAGAGCCCUUGUCAGGUCUGGUGCAGAUGGUGGGAGGACCUCUGGCCAGCUGGCUCUGUGAAUGAGUGGGAGCGUUUGGCCAUUUAUUUCUUCAGCCAUCAAGCAAAUGACUGAGAGGAAACUGCAAUUUUGCAGUUACAAAACAUUGUACCCCUUCUCAAACCAGGUACGUUUUUGUGUUGAGCAAAUCUAAAAGCUUCAGCCUAGUGUGAGCAAACAAUGCUAUU